rnacentral:rRNA from 1 species
UACGAAGGGGCUAGCGUUGUUCGGAAUUACUGGGCGUAAGCGCGCGCAGGCGGCUCUUCAAGUCAGGGUGAAAGCCCAGAGCUCAACUCUGGAACUGCCUUGAGACUGAAGAGCUUGAGUACGGGAGAGGUGAGUGGAAUUCCCAGUGUAGAGGUGAAAUUCGUAGAUAGUGGGAGGAACGACCGGUGGCGAAGGCGGCCACCUGGACGGUAACUGACGCUGAGACGCGAAGCGUGGGAGCAAACAGG